UACAGAGGGGGCAAGCGUUGUUCGGAAUUACUGGGCGUAAAGGGCGAGUAGGUGGCCAUCUAAGUCAGACGUGAAAUCCCCCGGCUUAACCUGGGAACUGCGUCUGAUACUGGACGGCUUGAGUAUGGGAGAGGAAUGUAGAAUUCCAGGUGUAGCGGUGAAAUGCGUAGAUAUCUGGAGGAAUACCGGUGGCGAAGGCGGCAUUCUGGACCAUUACUGACACUGAAUCGCGAAAGCUAGGAGAGCAAACGGG
rnacentral:rRNA from 1 species